rnacentral:rRNA from 1 species
GACGAACGCUGGCGGCGUGCUUAACACAUGCGAGUCGAACGGAAAGGCCCUGCUUUUGUGGGGUGCUCGAGUGGCGAACGGGUGAGUAACACGUGAGUAACCUGCCCUUGACUUUGGGAUAACUUCAGGAAACUGGGGCUAAUACCGGAUAGGAGCUCCUGCUGCAUGGUGGGGGUUGGAAAGUUUCGGCGGUUGGGGAUGGACUCGCGGCUUAUCAGCUUGUUGGUGGGGUAGUGGCUUACCAAGGCUUUGACGGGUAGCCGGCCUGAGAGGGUGGCCGGCCACAUUGGGACUGAGAUACGGCCCAGACUCCUACGGGAGGCAGCAGUGGGGAAUAUUACACAAUGGGCGGAAGCCUGAUGCAGCAACGCCGCGUGCGGGAUGACGGCCUUCGGGUUGUAAACCGCUUUCGCCUGUGACGAAGCGUGAGUGACGGUAAUGGGUAAAGAAGCACCGGCUAACUACGUG